rnacentral:rRNA from 1 species
AACGAACGCUGGCGGCGCGUCUUAAGCAUGCAAGUCGAACGGCAAGAUUUUGUAGCUUGCUACAAAAUCCUAGAGUGGCGGACUGGUGAGUAACACGUGGGUGACGUACCUUUCAGAUGGGGAUAGCUACUAGAAAUAGUAGAUAAUACCGAAUACGACCACAGGGGUUAGAGACCUGUGAGGAAAGGAGCUAAGGCUCCGCUGAAAGAUUGGCCUGCGGCCCAUUAGCUAGUUGGUAGGGUAAAGGCUACCAAGGCAAUGAUGGGUAUCGGCCUGAGAGGGUGAUCGGACACAUUGGGACUGAGAUACGG